rnacentral:rRNA from 1 species
AUUAGAGUUUGAUCCUGGCUCAGAACGAACGCUGGCGGCGCGUUUUAAGCAUGCAAGUCGAACGGUAGAGGGAGCUUGCUCCCUUGAGAGUGGCGAACGGGUGAGUAACACGUAGGUGAUCUACCCUGAGGUUGGGGAUAGCCUGUGGAAACACAGGGUAAUACCGGAUACGCCGAUUCGUCAAAUUUUUGACGUAUCGGGAAAGACGCUAAGGCGUCGACCUGGGAUGAGCCUGCGGCUCAUUAGCUAGUUGGUGGGGUAAAGGCCUACCAAGGCGACGAUGGGUAGCCGGCCUGAGAGGGUGUACGGCCACACUGGGACUGAGAGACGGCCCAGACUCCUACGGGAGGCAGCAGCUAAGAAUCUUCCGCAAUGGGCGAAAGCCUGACGGAGCGACGCCGCGUGGACGAAGAAGGCCGAAAGGUUGUAAAGUCCUUUUCUUGAUGAAGAAUAAGGGGGGCGGGGAAUGGCCCUCGGAUGACGUUAGUCGAGGAAUAAGCCCCGGCUAAUUACGUGCCAGCAGCCGCGGUAACACGUAAGGGGCGAGCGUUGUUCGGAUUUAUUGGGCGUAAAGGGCGUGUAGGCGGUUGUCCAAGCCUGGUGUGAAAGGCUCUGGCUUAACCAGAGUUAUGCGCUGGGAACUGGGCGACUAGAGUUCAGGAGGGGAAGCUGGAAUUCCUGGUGUAGGGGUGAAAUCUGUAGAUAUCAGGAAGAACACCGGUGGCGAAGGCGAGUUUCUGGCCAUGGACUGACGCUGAGGCGCGAAAGCGUGGGGAGCAAACAGGAUUAGAUACCCUGGUAGUCCACGCUGUAAACGAUGUGCACUAGGUGUCCGCCCCGCGGAGCGUUUUUGGGAGCAAAAACGUUGCGCGGGGUGGGUGCCGCAGUUAACGCGAUAAGUGCACCGCCUGGGGAGUAUGCUCGCAAGGGUGAAACUCAAAGGAAUUGACGGGGGCCCGCACAAGCGGUGGAGCAUGUGGUUUAAUUCGAUGGUACGCGAGGAACCUUACCAGGGCUUGACAUAGGAGGUACGGCGGCAGAGAUGCCGCUUCCCGCAAGGGGUCUCUUACAGGUGCUGCAUGGCUGUCGUCAGCUCGUGCUGUGAAGUGUUGGGUUAAGUCCCGCAACGAGCGCAACCCCUGCUGUCUGUUACCAACAGGUAAUGCUGGGGACUCGGACGGUACUGCCGGUGACAAACCGGAGGAAGGUGGGGACGACGUCAAGUCAUCAUGGCCCUUAUGUCCUGGGCUACACACGUGCUACAAUGGUCGGUACAAAGCGCAGCGAAACGGCGACGUGGAGCAAAUCGCAGAAAGCCGAUCUCAGUACAGAUUGAAGUCUGAAACUCGACUUCAUGAAGGUGGAAUCGCUAGUAAUCGCGCAUCAGCAUGGCGCGGUGAAUACGUUCCCAGGCCUUGUACACACCGCCCGUCACACCACCCGAAUUGGGGGUACCCGAAGUCGCUAGUCUAACCGUAACAGGAGGACGGCGCCGAAGGUAUGCCCUUUU